UACGGAGGGUGCAAGCGUUAUCCGGAUUCACUGGGCUUAAAGGGUGCGUAGGUGGGUUGGUAAGUCAGUGGUGAAAGCCCAUCGCUCAACGGUGGAACGGCCAUUGAUACUGCAAGACUUGAAUUAUUGGGAAGCAACUAGAAUAUGUAGUGUAGCGGUGAAAUGCUUAGAUAUUACAUGGAAUACCAAUUGCGAAGGCAGGUUGCUACCAAUACAUUGACGCUGAUGGACGAAAGCGUGGGGAGCGAACAGG
rnacentral:rRNA from 1 species